rnacentral:rRNA from 1 species
GAGGGAUUCCGUAGCCUCCGAAAAGUAAAGCACAGGGACGCUUCAGAAGUGUUACGCCGGGCGAUGGUAGCCCCGGUUGUAAAGGACACAAUUGAGUGGAAGGUAACAUGGAUGGAGACAAGAAAAGCUGUGUGUAUCUGGAAGGAGCCCGUACCGCAAACCGACACAGGUAGAUAGGGAGAAGAUUCUAAGGCCAGCGGGAGAAGGGUUGUUAAGGAACUCGGCAAGUUGACCCCGUAACUUCGGGAGAAGAGGUGCUUACGAAGGUAAGCCGCAGAGAAUAGGCCCAAGCGACUGUUUAGCAAAAACACAGCUCUAUGCUAAAUCGAAAGAUGACGUAUAUGGGGUGACACCUGCCCGGUGCUGGAAGGUUAAGAGGAGAUGUGAGAGCAUUGAAUUGAAGCCCCAGUAAACGGCGGCCGUAACGAUAACGGUCCUAAGGUAGCGAAAUUCCUUGUCAGGAAAGUUCUGACCCGCACGAAUGGUGUAACGAUUUGGGCACUGUCUCAACAACCUACCCGGCGAAAUUGUAGUACCGGUGAAGAUACCGGUUACCCGCGACUAGACGGAAAGACCCCAUGGAGCUUCACUGUAGCUUAAUAUUGAAUUUUGGUAUUUCAUGUACAGGAUAGGUGGGAGACUGGGAAAUACAGGCGUCAGCUUGUAUGGAGUCACUGUUGGGAUACCACUCUUGAGGUGCUGAAAUUCUAACCUGCGUCUUUGAAUCAAGACGGGGGACAUUGUUAGGUGGGCAGUUUGACUGGGGCGGUCGCCUCCAAAAGAGUAACGGAGGCGCUCAAAGGUUCGCUCAGCAUGGACGGAAACCAUGCCAAAGAGUGCAAACGCAAAAGCGAGCCUAACUGCGAGACUGACGGGUCGAGCAGUAACGAAAGUUGGAGUUAGUGAUCCGGCGGUAUGUGAGUGGAAAUGCCGUCGCUCAACGGAUAAAAGCUACCCUGGGGAUAACAGGCUGAUCUCCCCCAAGAGUCCACAUCGACGGGGAGGUUUGGCACCUCGAUGUCGGCUCAUCGCAUCCUGGGGCUGAAUUCGGUCCCAAGGGUUUGGCUGUUCGCCAAUUAAAGCGGUACGCGAGCUGGGUUCAGAACGUCGUGAGACAGUUCGGUCCCUAUCUGUCGUGGGCGUAGGAUAUUUGAAAGGAGCUGUCCCUAGUACGAGAGGACCGGGAUGGACGCACCUCUGGUGAACCAGUUGUCACGCCAGUGGCACGGCUGGGCAGCUAAGUGCGGAACGGAUAAACGCUGAAAGCAUCUAAGCGUGAAGCCGACCUUAAGAUAAGAUAUCCGUUCUUCGGAAUAAGACCCCUUGUAGACUACGAGGUUGAUAGGCUUAAAGUGUAAGCAUGGUGACAUGUUUAGCUUGCAAGUACAAAUCGGUCGAUUGCUUUUCCG